GAAGAUAUAGCUCAGUUCGGGAGAGCAUACACCUUGAAAGUGUAAGGUCAUUGGUUCGAAUCCAAUUAUCUUCU
rnacentral:tRNA from 1 species